GUCGACGAGAGAAUUGCUAGCUUGCUAAUAAUUCUCUAGUGGCGCACGGGUGAGUAACACGUGAGUAACCUGCCCCCGAGAGCGGGAUAGCCCUGGGAAACUGGGAUUAAUACCGCAUAGUAUCGAAAGAUUAAAGCAGCAAUGCGCUUGGGGAUGGGCUCGCGGCCUAUUAGUUAGUUGGUGAGGUAACGGCUCACCAAGGCGAUGACGGGUAGCCGGUCUGAGAGGAUGUCCGGCCACACUGGAACUGAGACACGGUCCAGACACCUACGGGUGGCAGCAGUCGAGAAUCAUUCACAAUGGGGGAAACCCUGAUGGUGCGACGCCGCGUGGGGGAAUGAAGGUCUUCGGAUUGUAAACCCCUGUCAUGUGGGAGCAAAUUAAAAAGAUAGUACCACAAGAGGAAGAGACGGCUAACUCUGUGCCAGCAGCCGCGGUAAUACAGAGGUCUCAAGCGUUGUUCGGAAUCACUGGGCGUAAAGCGUGCGUAGGCUGUUUCGUAAGUCGUGUGUGAAAGGCGCGGGCUCAACCCGCGGACGGCACAUGAUACUGCGAGACUAGAGUAAUGGAGGGGGAACCGGAAUUCUCGGUGUAGCAGUGAAAUGCGUAGAUAUCGAGAGGAACACUCGUGGCGAAGGCGGGUUCCUGGACAUUAACUGACGCUGAGGCACGAAGGCCAGGGGAGCGAAAGGGAUUAGAUACCCCUGUAGUCCUGGCAGUAAACGGUGCACGCUUGGUGUGCGGGGAAUCGACCCCCUGCGUGCCGGAGCUAACGCGUUAAGCGUGCCGCCUGGGGAGUACGGUCGCAAGAUUAAAACUCAAAGAAAUUGACGGGGACCCGCACAAGCGGUGGAGUAUGUGGCUUAAUUCGAUGCAACGCGAAGAACCUUACCUGGGCUUGA
rnacentral:rRNA from 1 species